UGAAGACCUCAGCCUUUUCUUAAAGGACGGUAUUUUUAUUUGCGUCCCUCACUUCAAUGUGAGGGCAGGACUUUAGACAAAAUAGAGGAAUUACGUUUUGUUACUAUUUUAUUUUACACUUUUUCUUGGACACUUAACGAAGAGAGAUGUAUACUAGCUGAGAACAUUAUCUAAGCCAUUUUGUACUGUUACGAUUCUCAAUGCACCCCUCACGACCGACGCUGCACCCACUGCCAUAGCCCCCAGGACCGGGUCAGGAUGUGACAACAUCCACUGCCAUAGCCCCCAGGACCGGGUCAGGAUGUGACAACACCCACUGCCAUACCCCUCAGGACUGGGCCAGGAUGUGACAACACCCACUGCCAUACCCCUCAGGACUGGGCCAAGAUGUGACAACACCCACUGCCAUAGCCCUCAGGACUGGGCCAGGAUGUGACAACACCCACUGCCAUAGCCCUCAGGACUGGGCCAGGAUGUGACAACACCCACUGCCAUAGCCCCCAGGACCGGGCCAGGAUGUGACAACACCCACUGCCAUAGCCCCCAGGACUGGGCCAGGAUGUGACAUCUACUGCCAUAGCCCUCAGGACUGGGCCAGGAUGUGACAACAUCCACUGCCAUAGCCCUCAGGACUGGGCCAAGAUGUGACAACACCCACUGCCACAGCCCUCAGGACUGGGCCAGGAUGUGACAACACCCACUGCCACAGCCCCCAGGACUGGGCCAGGAUGUCACAACACCCACUGCCAUAGCCCUCAGGACAGGGCCGGGAUGUGACAACAGCACUUAAUGGCUACCAAGAGUAAACCAUGGGUUUUCCUAAUCAGUGUCCAGAUUUAGUAUUAACAUUUUCAUUUUUUGUUUCAAUUACAGUGAUUAACAAUUGUAAUUGCACCAAUCUAUAAGCCACCAUUUAAAAUACAUUAAUUAUUGCAAUUUUCCUGGAAAAUGCACAGAAAAUACUAUUCUGAUAUUGUGGAGAAAUCCUGAACUUGUACGUAAAGCAACAGAUCACUGAAAUGAGGAUGAAUAACAUUUUAAUGGCAAUCAAUACAUACAAAAAACAUUAAGAAAUAAAAUAGGUGGUUUAAAAAAAAAAUAGGGGGGUUGUCAAUUUUAACACUAAAAGCAUGAUACAUCGGUAACACAGUGAAUGCUUAGCUAACAGGCACAACUCAGCUGUAAAUAAAUUCCAUGUAAUUAAAUAGUGGUUUAAAAGAAAUAGGGGGCUAACAGGCACAACUCAGCUGUAAACAUGUUCACAUGUAGCUCACCAGAUUGGUAGUGCUCACAAUUAUUAAUACUCAACCAUGCAUUGAAGAGGAACAAUUUCUCACUUAAAAAAUGCAACAUAACAUUAACGUAACAUGUAGGUCUAACUGUGUAAGGAAUGCACUCAAAAACACCAUUAGUUACAAUAUACCGUAAAGUGACCAAAUUGGCUUAUAGGAACACCAGUGGUUUACAAAAAAGACUUAACUUAAUUGACUUUUAAAAUAAAAUAUGUAAUACAAUAAAUAUAUACUGGACAACAUAACUGCAACAAUAUGCAAAAUGUAUAGAUUUGUAUGCAAGUGUACCCUUUAAGCCC
ensembl:lncRNA